rnacentral:rRNA from 1 species
GUCUAUGGCCAUACCACCCUGAAUGCAUCCUAUCUCGUCUGAUCUCAGAAGCUAAGCAAGGUCGGGCCUGAUUAGUACUUGGAUGGAAGACAGAUCUUCAGAAGAGACUGAUCAGAGACA